AACGAACGCUGGCGGCAGGCUUAACACAUGCAAGUCGAACGCCCCGCAAGGGGAGUGGCAGACGGGUGAGUAACGCGUGGGAACGUACCUUUCAGUUCGGAAUAACUCAGGGAAACUUGUGCUAAUACCGGAUACGCCCGCAAGGGGAAAGAUUUAUCGCUGAAAGAUCGGCCCGCGUUGGAUUAGCUAGUUGGUGGGGUAAAGGCCUACCAAGGCGACGAUCCAUAGCUGGUCUGAGAGGAUGAUCAGCCACACUGGGACUGAGACACGGCCCAGACUCCUACGGGAGGCAGCAGUGGGGAAUAUUGGACAAUGGGCGCAAGCCUGAUCCAGCAAUGCCGCGUGCAGGAUGAAGGCCUUCGGGUUGUAAACUGCUUUUGUACGGAACGAAAAGGCUCUGGUUAAUACCUGGGCUCAUGACGGUACCGUAAGAAUAAGCACCGGCUAACUACGUG
rnacentral:rRNA from 1 species